UAUGAAGAACGUAGCAAAAUGCGAUACUUGGUGUGAAUUGCAGAAUCCCGUGAACCAUCGAGUUUUUGAACGCAAGUUGCGCCCGAAGCCUUUUGGCCGAGGGCACGUCUGCCUGGGCGUCACGCAUCGCGUCGCCCCCCCACAAUUCUCCGUAAAGGGAACUUGUGUUUUGGGGGCGGAUAUUGGUCUCCCGUGCUCAUGGCGUGGUUGGCCGAAAUAGGAGUCCUUUCGAUGGACGCACGAACUAGUGGUGGUCGUAAAAACCCUCGUCUUUUGUUUCGUGCUGUUGCUCGCAAGGUAAACUCUUUAAAAACCCCAAUGUGUCGUCUCUUGACGACGCUUCGACCGCGACCCCAGGUCAGGCGGGACUACCCGCUGAGUUUAAGCAUAUCAAUAAGCGGAGGA
rnacentral:misc_RNA from 1 species